rnacentral:rRNA from 1 species
GACGAACGCUGGCGGCGUGCUUAACACAUGCAAGUCGAACGGAAAGGCCCUCACCUUGGUGGGGGUGCUCGAGUGGCGAACGGGUGAGUAACACGUGGGUGAUCUGCCCUGUACUUCGGGAUAAGCUUGGGAAACUGGGUCUAAUACCGGAUAGGACCAUGGUCUAGUGUCUCAUGGCGGAAAAAUUAUUGUUUUGGUGCAGGAUGAGCUCGCGGCCUAUCAGCUUGUUGGUGGGGUAAUGGCCUACCAAGGCGUCGACGGGUAGCCGGCCUGAGAGGGUGGACGGCCACAUUGGGACUGAGAUACGGCCCAGACUCCUACGGGAGGCAGCAGUGGGGAAUAUUGCACAAUGGGCGCAAGCCUGAUGCAGCGACGCCGCGUGGGGGAUGACGGCCUUCGGGUUGUAAACUCCUUUCGUUAGGGACGAAGCCACACUUUUUUUGGGUGUGGUGACGGUACCUUUGUUAAGAAGCACCGGCUAACUACGUGCCAGCAGCCGCGGUAAUACGUAGGGUGCGAGCGUUGUCCGGAAUUACUGGGCGUAAAGAGCUCGUAGGUGGUUUGUUGCGUCGUCUGUGAAAUUCCGGGGCUUAACUUCGGGGUGGCAGGCGAUACGGGCAUAACUAGAGUGCUGUAGGGGAGACUGGAAUUCCUGGUGUAGCGGUGGAAUGCGCAGAUAUCAGGAGGAACACCGAUGGCGAAGGCAGGUCUCUGGGCAGUAACUGACGCUGAGGAGCGAAAGCAUGGGGAGCGAACAGGAUUAGAUACCCUGGUAGUCCAUGCUGUAAACGGUGGGCGUUAGGUGUGGGGACCGGUUUGGUUUCUGUGCCGUAGCUAACGCAUUAAGCGCCCCGCCUGGGGAGUACGGCCGCAAGGCUAAAACUCAAAGGAAUUGACGGGGGCCCGCACAAGCGGCGGAGCAUGUGGAUUAAUUCGAUGCAACGCGAAGAACCUUACCUGGGUUUGACAUGCACCAGACGGUUGUAGAGAUACGUACCUCCCUUUGUGGUUGGUGUGCAGGUGGUGCAUGGUUGUCGUCAGCUCGUGUCGUGAGAUGUUGGGUUAAGUCCCGCAACGAGCGCAACCCUUGUCUUAUGUUGCCAGCACGUUUGGGUGGGGACUCAUGAGAGACUGCCGGGGUUAACUCGGAGGAAGGUGGGGAUGACGUCAAAUCAUCAUGCCCUUUAUGCCCAGGGCUUCACACAUGCUACAAUGGUUAGUACAACGCGCGGCGAGCCUGUGAGGGUGAGCGAAUCGCUGAAAGCUAAUCUCAGUUCGGAUUGGGGUCUGCAACUCGACCCCAUGAAGUCGGAGUCGCUAGUAAUCGCAGAUCAGCAAUGCUGCGGUGAAUACGUUCCCGGGCCU